UCUAAUAGAAAUUUUUUUUGGCCUAAGCAGUAAAAUGACUUAUAUCAUUAAAACUUAAGAAUUGUGGCGGCAGCUUAAACACUCAGGGGAACUUACCAUGUAAUUGAUAACCAACAAGAGGUCCUCACCUGCUCUCAUAAUUAGUAUACCGCCGUCUUUAAAUUCUCUUAAGGGGAGCUUAAAAAACAUACCAUUUAAAAGACAGGUCAUGGUGCUGUAAAUGACCAGGAAUAUAAGGUGAGUUACAAUACCCAAAACUAGUACAGAUUAUAAUCUUAAAAUCUUUUAUGAAGAAGGACUUGAUUGUAAGGCCUAUUCUUCUCUUACUAUAGCUACUAACAUAAACAAUUAAGGCUUGAAAAAGAAUUAGGCUGUGC
rnacentral:rRNA from 1 species